rnacentral:rRNA from 1 species
UGCCAGCCGCCGCGGUAAUACGGAAGGUCCGGGCGUUAUCCGGAUUUAUUGGGUUUAAAGGGAGCGUAGGCGGGCUGGUAAGUCAGCUGUGAAAGUUCGGGGCUCAACCUUGAAAUUGCAGUUGAUACUGUCAGCCUUGAGUGCACGCAGGGGUGCUGGAAUUCAUGGUGUAGCGGUGAAAUGCUUAGAUAUCAUGAAGAACUCCGAUCGCGAAGGCAUGUGCCCGGAGUGCAACUGACGCUGAGGCUCGAAAGUGCGGGUAUCAAACAGGAUUAGAUA